AGCGAACGCUGGCGGCAGGCCUAACACAUGCAAGUCGAACGAAGUCUUCGGACUUAGUGGCGGACGGGUGAGUAACACGUGGGAACGUGCCUUUAGGUUCGGAAUAACUCAGGGAAACUUGUGCUAAUACCGAAUGUGCCCUUCGGGGGAAAGAUUUAUCGCCUUUAGAGCGGCCUGCGUCUGAUUAGCUAGUUGGUGAGGUAAAGGCUCACCAAGGCGACGAUCAGUAGCUGGUCUGAGAGGAUGAUCAGCCACAUUGGGACUGAGACACGGCCCAAACUCCUACGGGAGGCAGCAGUGGGGAAUCUUGCGCAAUGGGCGAAAGCCUGACGCAGCCAUGCCGCGUGAAUGAUGAAGGUCUUAGGAUUGUAAAAUUCUUUCACCGGGGACGAUAAUGACGGUACCCGGAGAAGAGGCCCCGGCUAACUUCGUGCCAGCCGCCGCCGUAA
rnacentral:rRNA from 1 species